GGACGACGCUGGCGGCGUGCUUAACACAUGCAAGUCGAGCGAUGAAGUUCUUCGGAAAUGGAUUAGCGGCGAACGGGUGAGGAACACGUGAAGAAUCUGCCCUCCACUUUGGGAUAACACCGGGAAACCGGUGCUAAUACCGAAUAUUGAAACAUAAGUGGCAUCACUGAGUUUUGAAAGAAUUUCGGUGGAGGAUGACUUCGCGGCCUAUCAGCUAGUUGGUGAGGUAAUGGCUCACCAAGGCAACGACGGGUAGCCGGCCUGAGAGGUCAAUCCCCCACACUGGCACUGAGAUACGGGCCAGACUCCUACGGGAGGCAGCAGUAGGGAAUAUUGGGCAAUGGACGCAAGUCUGACCCAGCCAUGCCGCGUGCAGGAUGAAGGCGUUAUGCGUUGUAAACUGCUUUUAUUUGGGAAUAAACCUCUUUACGUGUAGAGAGCUGAAGGUACCAAAUGAAUAAGCACCGGCUAACUCCGUG
rnacentral:rRNA from 1 species